AUAUAUAUAUAUAUAAUAGAAGAUUAUGCAUUACACUAGGGCAGGGGAGGCAACCUACAGCACAUGUUCCAUGCCCGGCACUCCAAGUAUCUUUGCACAGUACUCAAAGCUGCUAGAGCCAAACAAGCCUCUCUGGCCUAUCAGGAGUCCCAGUGAAAUUUCAGAUAUCUGCUAAUAUGAAAAGGUGGUGAGGGACAAGCCUUGAUUUAUGCGUUGCAGCACGUAGAGGAAGUGAUCUCAGAUCUUCCUCCCAGCACUUGUGAAUGGGAAUCUGCACUGGAGUAGAGCAGCCUGCAGCAAUCACAGUUCCUGCACUUGACCUGUACCUGGCCAGCAUGGUCCCCUUUGGAACUCAGGAAGCCACCCACACUGCUAGAUAUACACAGAUGCAGAACAACCCUCCCCUUAUACAAAUAAUAUGAACAGCUCACACACAAAGUCUGCACAAACAACACCACUAACAAUCCAUAUACAUGCACACAACCCAACAAGCAGCCUUUCACACACAUCCCACCAAACACAAUGCGACAUGUCCAUCAACACUCCAUUUCACAAGCAGCCCCCAUACACAGCCGACAUUCACAGGUAUCAUACACAGUACCACAAACUACUCGUGAACAUAUAACAGAUCAUAUAAGCACAAAUACAACGAUGCAAAGCAACCGCAGUAUAAAUAAGCAGAAUAUGGCAACAUACACACCUCAAUUUAAAAAAAUAGGACGGGCACACUACGGGAUAUCACAAUCUUAUUUUGGCACAGUACUGCUAAAAGGUUGCCUACCCCUGCACUAGGGUAUCAGUACAUCAAAUUGGGGCUUUGGUAAGUGUGGGUGUUCUACAGAACACCCACACAGCACAUACAAUACAAUACAGAUUAGAUGGAAUGUUCGAGUGUUUUAAAUGUAUUGUAACCAACACCAACUCUGCCCAAUUAGAUAUUGCAGAACCAAGUUACAGACUAUGAGUGGUUUUCACUCUGCCAAGAACUGUGGUGCAGACGGUUUGAUAGAGGGCCUUAGUACAAGACAUAUCGGGACAAUUUCUAUGUUAGAUCUUGAAGCAGGUGGCAGAGGGAAAUUGUAGCCAUGAUUCAUACAUAAUGCAGAGUGGGUUACUCUAAAGGGAUAUCAAUUUGUAGUAUUGGAGAGAGAAGAGUAACACAAUCGAAACAUCCUACAAGGUCGUGUUAACAUAAUUAUGUAAAAGACUAUACAAGGUUAAGAACAUUAGAAUGUGUGAUUAUCUCAAUAUAGAGGAUCUCUGGAUACAAGCAAAACCAGAGUGAAGGUUAACAUAAUUUAGUAUUAUUCUAAAUAAAACACAGACAAGCACUUUAUAUUCUGGUUCUAUUAGCUGCACCAUGUGAGUAAUGCACAAAUGUAACAAGAUGUUUGGGGCAAACUUUUUAUAAAAACACUUAACUGGUGAAAAACUAAGAAUGUAUUUACUUUUGAUAAAAUUGUCAACUUGUACUCUGUUCACUAUAAACAUUUAAAAUGUUUUUAGUUUAUAUUCACUAUUAAAUUGUAUUCUAACCAGAUUACUAUAAUACAUUUUAAACCGGUUUGCUUAUCUAUAUGAUAUCCAUUAGUACCCAAAAUUGUUAAACAUCUGUACAUCACAAAUGGUUUACACACUGUUAGAGUUCUAGAACAUUGUUGGAUCAGGAAGAUACAGCCAUAAAUCAUGGAUAGUUUAAAGCUGCUGAGAUACGUUUAUAUGUUUACGUUUGAAGCCAACACUUUUUCCUCUCAGAAAUCAUUCGAUAAUGCAGUAUGUGCUUUACAUCUUAGUUUCUCAAACCGUGGUAUGUGCACCAAGAGGUGGCCAGCUGUAGGAAGUUGUACUCCACGAUAUUCCAGCAUUGCUCCCUCAUGUGCCCUGAGGCGAUGCCGGAAGCCAGGAUAUGAUUUCACUCCAGCCCCGGCAUCACUUAAAAGCUCGCAAGGAAACAAUGAACAUUUAAGAGCAUGAAGAUUACACGUGCCCCACACUGGACCUCAGGGAACCACAGAAAGGAUCCACUCACAAAAGGUAGGGAGGCUGAGUGGACUGAAUUUUAAAAAAUAAAAAUUUGUUUGAGAAUGUGUGUGACAGUGUGUGUCAAGUCAGUGAGUGUCUGUUAGUCAGUUACCUCUGUAAAUGUGUGUUUUAAUGUUCUAUGGGUGUAACCAUUACAUGUAUUAUAUUGUCAUUUUGGGACAUUUUUAUACUUUAGAUUAAUAGUUCAUACACAAUAGUUACAUUAUGUUCUUACCCAUCUUUAAAUCAGGCUUGUUCCCCAAUAUGGAAUUAACUUAAAUAUCAGUAUCUACACGUUUCAUUUGGAAUUCAAUAGAAAUGCUUUUCUUGAGGUAAUAGUAUUUUAUACCUGCAGGAAUACUUCUCCAUAAAAGGUUGAAGAGCACCGCUUUAGAUGAUUGAGAGGGCAUCAUUCACGUUUUUAUCAUUGCACCAUACACAUCAACUAAAAACACAGAAGAGCUCUUCACAGGGCUACAGUUUUAUACUGGCUUUGCUUUAAAAACAUUUUAUGAUUUGGUAUGGAUACUGUAAGUUAGUUUAA
rnacentral:lncRNA from 1 species